rnacentral:rRNA from 1 species
GACUACCGGGGUAUCUAAUCCUGUUUGAUCCCCACGCUUUCGUGCCUCAGUGUCAGUAUCGGCUUGGUAAACUGCCUUCGCAAUUGGUGUUCUAUGUCAUAUCUAAGCAUUUCACCGCUACAUGACAUAUUCCGUCUACCUCAACCGCACUCAAGAUCAACAGUAUCAAUGGCAAUUCCCAAGUUGAGCUCGGGGCUUUCACCACUGACUUAUCGAUCCACCUACGCACCCUUUAAACCCAGUGAAUCCGGAUAACGCUUGCACCCUCCGUAUUACCGCGGCUGCUGGCACGGAGUUAGCCGGUGCUUAUUCCUUAGGUACCGUCAGCCUCGAAUGAAUUCAAGGGUUUCUUCCCUAAUAAAAGAAGUUUACAAUCCGUAGGACCUUCAUCCUUCACGCGGCAUGGCUGGGUCAGAGUUGCCUCCAUUGCCCAAUAUUCCCCACUGCAGCCGCCCGUAGG